UUAAGUUAACUUGCAUAGGUGCUGUUUCCUUGAGGUUUUAUAGUGAUGACUGUUCCUAACUGAUCUAUUUCUGUGAAAAUGUACUCUGUGGACUAGUAAUGAAGAUAAACGAGAAACCAAUGCAGUGGAAUAUAUACUUGAAAAUCUAUGAUCAUAUUUAGUUAGUGCACACUGCAUAAGAUCAACGGUAUGGCGAACUCCUUCGUCAAUUAUUUUCUUUUUGCAAACAGUGUAGAGAUAAAAAUCCCAGACUACUUUCACAACUUCACCGGCGCUCCAGGGCAUAUUGGCUAGGCGACAAUCAUUGCGAUGCAGGGACGGCCCCUGUACUGCCACCAGAGCACUGCCCAUCGAGGAUCGCUGAUCAUCGCACCAGACUCGACAGUGUCUUGUGAAGCACACCGCAAUGGCUUUAACAUAAGAACGUGGAAUGGAAUUCACACUACGCACUUCGUCGCGUCUUGAGUGGGGAGCUACAAAAAAAAAGUUGCAUCACCAACAUAUCAUGAUCACCAGUAACACGGCUCGGUUAUGCUAAUAGUUAAUGUGGUUGAGGUCGGCCUAAAAGAAAAACUCGUGGCGAAAAAGCGUAACCUGUUUGAUCUGAUGUUGCUUACGUUUGCCGGUUUACAGUAGUUUCUGUUCUGGCAAUUUUUGGUGUCAUAUAGUACAGUUAUACUGAAACAGUAUCAACCCGAUCUUAACAGCUAACUAUAGCUCCUUUUCAUGAUACAUAUUGAAAUAACACAGAGGUUGCUGCUGGUUACUCUUCUACCUUUACGUUUCAAACACAUAAAUUAGAAGUUACAAGUUUUAAUUUUAUUUAAUAGUGCUGUUGUAGUGUG